ACAUUUGUUGAAUAACUGAGAUAAGAAUUAACUGUUGCCUUUUUUACUCCAUCACUGGUAGCCCUAGACGCUACCAGUGAUUGGGUGGUGUUUUCCAGAGAGACGUGUCCAUUGGGUGACGAUAUCGACACACUUGAAGAUGAUUCUUUGUAAAUGGUUCCAUGACAUGGAAAAAGAGAGGUGAGUAUAUCAUGAGACAUGACACCACUGGAGAAUUAUUGGUGGAAGUUAAUGAACUAUGGAUAUAUGUACACAGUAUUGGACAAGAGGAAGAUGUAUUCUAAAGACAGUUGUAUUGAUUGAUUGUAUAUUGUUCAAUGUCCCUCUCGAGAAUAGUUUACGUGUAUGGAGACCUCACCACUGCCAGUUAAGAGCAGCAAAAUUUAGGCCUAUGCUCAGCACUUACGGGCUGUGAAAGGGGACCUCAUUUUUUGCGGUCUCAUCCGAAGGACCGCCCCAUUUAUUCCCCUUAUGACAAAUUCUAACCCGGAUCACCACGGGACUAGACAGUUGUAUACUGACAGUUUUGUUUCUAGAGAGUUAUGUUUAUAGACAGUUGUAUAUAUCUGGUUAUUGUUUUUACAUACAUGAGUUUUACUCGUAAAUAAAUACUGUAUAUACUUUUA